rnacentral:miRNA from 1 species
GAUGACACUUGUAUAGUCACGGUUG